CACGUAGGGCGCAAGCGUUGUCCGGAAUUAUUGGGCGUAAAGAGCUCGUAGGCGGUUCGAUAAGUCGGGUGUGAAACCUCCAGGCUCAACCUGGAGACGCCACCCGAUACUGUCGUGACUAGAGUCCAGUAGGGGAGCGUGGAAUUCCUGGUGUAGCGGUGAAAUGCGCAGAUAUCAGGAGGAACACCAGCGGCGAAGGCGGCGCUCUGGGCUGGAACUGACGCUGAGGAGCGAAAGCGUGGGGAGCGAACAGG
rnacentral:rRNA from 1 species